UCAAAGUAAGUGUAUGUACUACAUUUUUUUUUUUUAACUUUGUAAAAAACUUUUUGAUGAGCUGGAACCAAUUACCCAAUAUCCCAUUGAAACAAUGGAUUCGGUUAACGAAACGUAUCAGCUCUCCCAAAACGAGUGUCUCUGUACAGGUGGCCAGGUUUUUUUUUUUUUUUUCACCAAAAUCUACUGACCCAUGAUCCUGGACAAUGAUGAUGGGAUGUAUAGAUUAUCAUGUUUAUCUGAAAGACCCAAUAGACUUUAAGCUCUAGUGGCUGGACAGAAUCCUCUGAGCAGAUCUACCCUUGGAAUUAUUUCAUGACCCAUUAGUUGCUACAGGUCAACCAUAAUAAUUCAGGCUAAGUCCCUACUUUCCAGCCUACAUCCUGCUACAAAAGGGAGUACAGUAGGGGGAGUAUUUGAGGCACCAGGCACCAAGCUUUGUUAUAAAAUGGAGUUCAGGAUUUAUAACCCUAUGCCCGUUACUGGGCGACUCAAGUAACUAAUCUAGAUUGGAAAUGAGAUGAGGUGGAACUUAUAUAAUUUUCAAAAGCUAAUAUGACAUGUACCACAUGUACAGGGUAAAUAAUAUAUAUUUUCUUUACCUAUGAGUCACAGUAAUUCAAUUUUACGUGGCAGUUUAUCUCGCCCAGAUUUUGCUUGGACAGUUGCGAUAUUUGUUGUUGAUGUUAUGUAGAUGCUUCAACUGCCAGGGUCUUUAAACAUAGUUAAUACACUAGGCAAUAAAGAGUUUGCAGAACUUAAGGAAGGUAUACUUUGUGUUAAUUUUUAGAAUAUAUUAUUAAACAAUAUUGCUCAACAGAUUGUUCCCAUAUGACUGUACUGUAUAUCACUAUUUAGUUUAGAUAUAAGGUGCUAAACCAGACAAUAAACAAAAUCCUGCACUUAUCUUGUACAGGUCAAACACUUGUCACCAGCUUGUAACAACUGCUGCCACCGGCUAUUAAUAUUAGCUCAGAGAAAACAGUGAAGGAUAUGAGCUAAUGAAAAAUAUACAUUGCCCAAGCAAAGUACAGUACAUGAUAACAAGGAAUUACCAAGCAACUAUACAGUACAGUACUGUGAAAUAUUUGGAUGACAGUAUCAAACAAAUACCUGUAUAGAGAGCCUGGGUGAUUUAGGAGAAAAUUACAACUAGGACACAUCAAACCCUACAAGACAAUCCAACACAAAGAUGAAGCCAGUAUAACAGCAAACAGAAGUGUGUACUUCAUCCCUGGACACCACCACUGCUGCCUCCAGCUCUGCUUCUCACUGCUCAAAUUCCCCAGUAUGUUAAGAUGAGUCCUCAAACAUUUUUACUUGUGUACAAAGAAAUGUGUAUUCCCUUUAUGUGUUUGCCCUUCGGACAAUUAUUUCUUUUACCUGUAGUAUUGUGUGUGUGUGUG
rnacentral:lncRNA from 1 species